rnacentral:rRNA from 1 species
UACGUAGGGGGCAAGCGUUGUCCGGAAUCAUUGGGCGUAAAGAGCGUGUAGGCGGCCAGAUAAGUCCGCUGUGAAAACUCGAGGCUCAACUUCGAGCUGUCGGCGGAAACUAUCUGGCUAGAGUCCGGAAGAGGAGAGUGGAAUUCCUGGUGUAGCGGUGAAAUGCGCAGAUAUCAGGAGGAACACCGGUGGCGAAGGCGGUUCUCUGGGCAUUACCUGACGCUGAGGAGCGAAAGUGUGGGGAGCGAACAGG